GGCAAUCUGCCCUUCACUCUGGGACAAGCCCUGGAAACGGGGUCUAAUACCGGAUAACACUCCUCCGGGCAUCCAGGGGGGUUGAAAGCUCCGGCGGUGAAGGAUGAGCCCGCGGCCUAUCAGCUUGUUGGUGAGGUAGUGGCUCACCAAGGCGACGACGGGUAGCCGGCCUGAGAGGGCGACCGGCCACACUGGGACUGAGACACGGCCCAGACUCCUACGGGAGGCAGCAGUGGGGAAUAUUGCACAAUGGGCGAAAGCCUGAUGCAGCGACGCCGCGUGAGGGAUGACGGCCUUCGGGUUGUAAACCUCUUUCAGCAGGGAAGAAGCGAAAGUGACGGUACCUGCAGAAGAAGCGCCGGCUAACUACGUGCCAGCAGCCGCGGUAAUACGUAGGGCGCAAGCGUUGUCCGGAAUUAUUG
rnacentral:rRNA from 1 species